GUGGUAAUAUUUCUCAUUGAAAUACCGCAUUUUUCUUUCAGUGGUGGCAGAAGGAAACCAUGAGAAAAUCUGCUUUCUGAAAAAUCAUGUCUUGACUCACACAGUGUUUCUGAGGGAAAGCAGUGGAGCCUGCAGAUGAUGCUACCAGAGUUUCUUUUUGGAGGCAGAGCGUGUGGGAUUGGUGGGCUCACCAAAUUAGAAAACC
rnacentral:lncRNA from 1 species